rnacentral:rRNA from 1 species
UACGUAGGCGGAAAAUUAAGUCAGUAGUGAAAUCCUGCAGCUUAACUGUAGAACUGCCAUUGAUACUGAUGUUCUUGAAUGUAGUUGAGGUAGGCGGAAUGUGUAAUGUAGCGGUGAAAUGCUUAGAUAUUACACAGAACACCGAUUACGAAGGCAGCUUGCUAAACUAUGAUUGACGCUGAUGCACGAAAGCGUGGGGAGCGAACAGGAUUAGAUACCCUGGUAGUC